rnacentral:rRNA from 1 species
UACGUAGGGUGCAAGCGUUGUCCGGAAUUAUUGGGCGUAAAGAGCUCGUAGGCGGCUUGUCGCGUCGGUUGUGAAAACCUGGGGCUCAACCCCGGGCCUGCAGCCGAUACGGGCAAGCUAGAGUUCGGUAGGGGAGACUGGAAUUCCUGGUGUAGCGGUGAAAUGCGCAGAUAUCAGGAGGAACACCGGUGGCGAAGGCGGGUCUCUGGGCCGAUACUGACGCUGAGGAGCGAAAGCGUGGGGAGCGAACAGG